rnacentral:SRP_RNA from 1 species
GUUCGCGGGCCUGUCGGCCGCCGCCCUCAAGGUGGCGAGCGUGCGGCAGGAGCUCCAGAGCAGCGUCAAGUACCUGCUCCAG